rnacentral:rRNA from 1 species
AGCGAACGCUGGCGGCAGGCUUAACACAUGCAAGUCGAACGGGCGUAGCAAUACGUCAGUGGCAGACGGGUGAGUAACGCGUGGGAACGUACCUUUUGGUUCGGAACAACCCAGGGAAACUUGGGCUAAUACCGGAUAAGCCCUUACGGGGAAAGAUUUAUCGCCGAAAGAUCGGCCCGCGUCUGAUUAGCUAGUUGGUGUGGUAACGGCGCACCAAGGCGACGAUCAGUAGCUGGUCUGAGAGGAUGAUCAGCCACAUUGGGACUGAGACACGGCCCAAACUCCUACGGGAGGCAGCAGUGGGGAAUAUUGGACAAUGGGCGGCAAGCCUGAUCCAGCCAUGCCGCGUGAGUGAUGAAGGCCCUAGGGUUGUAAAGCUC